UACGAAGGGGGCUAGCGUUGCUCGGAAUGACUGGGCGUAAAGGGCGCGUAGGCGGAUGGCACAGUCAGAUGUGAAAUUCCCGGGCUUAACCUGGGGGCUGCAUUUGAUACGUGUUGUCUCGAGUGAGGAAGAGGGUCGUGGAAUUCCCAGUGUAGAGGUGAAAUUCGUAGAUAUUGGGAAGAACACCGGUGGCGAAGGCGGCGACCUGGUCCUUGACUGACGCUGAGGCGCGAAAGCGUGGGGAGCAAACAGG
rnacentral:rRNA from 1 species